rnacentral:rRNA from 1 species
GAUGAACACUGGCGGCGUGCCUAAUACAUGCAAGUCGAGCGAACAGACGAGGAGCUUGCUCCUCCGACGUUAGCGGCGGACGGGUGAGUAACACGUGGAUAACCUACCUAUAAGACUGGGAUAACUUCGGGAAACCGGAGCUAAUACCGGAUAAUAUAUUGAACCGCAUGGUUCAAUAGUGAAAGACGGUUUUGCUGUCACUUAUAGAUGGAUCCGCGCCGCAUUAGCUAGUUGGUAAGGUAACGGCUUACCAAGGCGACGAUGCGUAGCCGACCUGAGAGGGUGAUCGGCCACACUGGAACUGAGACACGGUCCAGACUCCUACGGGAGGCAGCAGUAGGGAAUCUUCCGCAAUGGGCGAAAGCCUGACGGAGCAACGCCGCGUGAGUGAUGAAGGUCUUCGGAUCGUAAAACUCUGUUAUUAGGGAAGAACAAAUGUGUAAGUAACUAUGCACGUCUUGACGGUACCUAAUCAGAAAGCCACGGCUAACUACGUG